UACGGGGGGGGCAAGCGUUGUUCGGAAUUACUGGGCGUAAAGGGCUCGUAGGCGGCCAACUAAGUCAGACGUGAAAUCCCUCGGCUUAACCGGGGAACUGCGUCUGAUACUGGAUGGCUAGAGGUUGGGAGAGGGAUGCGGAAUUCCAGGUGUAGCGGUGAAAUGCGUGAGAUAUCUGGAGGAACACCGGUGGCGAAGGCGGCAUCCUGGACCAAUUCUGACGCUGAGGAGCGAAAGCCAGGGGAGCAAACGGG
rnacentral:rRNA from 1 species